AGAAAACCGCGUAUCUCCGAAUCUGCGUAUCGUACCGUAUAUCUCGGGGACUACCUGUAUGUACUUCUCAUUCGCACUGGUGCAAUACUUCCGUUCACCGAUUUAGCUUCUUGCGUACUUCGGGUAUGGUGUACCCACUCGUUCUACCUUGAACUCGUCUUCUGUUAUUCAUCUAUCGUGCAGUUCCGGUCGUGCAUAAUUUAACCGUGAAUUUAGUGGGCGAUCCCAAUCCCAACCGACAUUAUCGCGCGAUGUUUAUGUGUAUUUAUCAUUUUUCUCAUUCUAACAUUCAGAAAAAAAUUCGCUCUGCCUCGCUCUUCUGGGUGUUGGUCUGGUUUUGCUCGCAACUUGGCUGUGUCACACCAACCAUCCUCAUGUUUCAUAUGGCUCUUCUCUUUCCAUCGUUAGAGAGAAACUCUCGCGUCUCGCUUUUCUGGGACUUCCAAUUCCAAUUCCGCUUGCUACAUCAAUCGUUCACGCUAGCGCUCUCCUCUCGUCCGCUCUUUGUAUCAUUGUAUAGCAACACGAGGAAGGCGCUGCUUCUCGUUCACAUAAAAAUGUGGUAAUGGUAAAUCACGUUUGCAAGUGGUAGGACGCGUCGAUUUGUGUCCGUUUUUUCCUAUCGUAAAACCAAUACGGAAAAACUAAUUGAGAUCGUAACACACGCACGAACGGCAGUAAGCACGGACCACGAUAUAAGCAAUAUUCAAUCGGUUGGAGAGCCGAAACAACAGGAGAUGCGAG